GAGAUUGUGGGCUCCUUGAGGGCUCUGCCUUUUUGUUCUGUGUAGCCCCAGCACAUAGUAGGGGAAGUCACACAGGAAAUCCAAAAGCAUGGGAAGACCCUGGGCCGAGGGAGCAGAGGCUGAAACUCUGGGAAAAGCUGUGAGGACCACAAAAGUGGUUGGGCCCCUAAUGGCCUCAAGACCCGGGGUACAACAAACCCCACAGGAGGCCCAAUGACACCCCCUGUCCUAACUCAGCUCAGGAAGAGGCAGCUGCCAUGGUUUAAAGAAUGUGGGUUUUUAGGGUAGAUAGACCCCACAUCUGCUCCAUA
rnacentral:lncRNA from 1 species